rnacentral:rRNA from 1 species
CACUGGAACUGAGACACGGUCCAGACUCUUACGGGAGGCAGCAGUGGGGAAUUUUGGACAAUGGGCGCAAGCCUGAUCCAGCAAUGCCGCGUGCAGGACGAAGGCCUUCUGGUUGUAAACUGCUUUUGUACGGAGCGAAACGGUCUGGGUUAAUACCCUGGGCUAAUGACGGUACCGUAAGAAUAAGCACCGGCUAACUACGUGCCAGCAGCCGCGGUAAUACGUAGGGUGCGAGCGUUAAUCGGAAUUACUGGGCGUAAAGCGUGCGCAGGCGGUUUUGUAAGACAGGCGUGAAAUCCCCGGGCUCAACCUGGGAAUGGCGCUUGUGACUGCAAAGCUGGAGUGCGGCAGAGGGGGAUGGAAUUCCGCGUGUAGCAGUGAAAUGCGUAGAUAUGCGGAGGAACACCGAUGGCGAAGGCAAUCCCCUGGGCCUGCACUGACGCUCAUGCACGAAAGCGUGGGGAGCAAACAGGAUUAGAUACCCU